CCUGAUCAAUCGGACCCGAAAACUCGUAUACACAAUCUUUCGCGUUGCUACCACCGCGGCUUCCUUCUCUACCCUUCCCUCGCGUCGCCAUCGCAAGAGUAUCUCAACUCCGCCUCGAGACCUCCCCCCUCGCUGGUCUCAGCCAUGGUGAGAUCUCUCUCGUCCUUACUCUAGCGCUUGUUGCAUCUUCGCUGCGCUGCAGCCAUGGAUUUGGCCUCGCCCUUACUAAUUCCUGACGUGCGGCGGCUCUUGUUUGUGGUUCUAGGUGAAAUAUUCGACGGAGCCGACCAACCCCACCAAGUGUAAGCUUCUUUAACAAAGGUUUCCAUGCAUAUUUCUGCAUCUGCGGGUUUUCUGAUUCGCGUGUUGUUAUCUUUUAUUCGAUGUAGCCGCUAAGGCCAUGGGUCGUGACCUACAUGUUCACUUCAAGGUGAGAGAUCCCUAUCUGCCUCCUGUCCGAGAUCCUAUUUUAACAGAUCUCAUGAUUUGUUUGUGCUAUUUUUGUGCUGCGUUCGGCUAUAGCCUAGGUAUAAUACAUCUAGGAUUCAUCUUUACUCUUCAAGUAGUGUACGCCGUUCAACUCACGCUACCAGCUAUCAUGUUUCCCUUUUUUAUCGUUAUUAUUCCUUUCGAUAAUGCCGUUUGCAGUUGGUUUCUUUGUGUUUUUAGAUGCAUUUGGAAGCCUUGCACUCUGAAUUUACCGGACUAAUGUUGUACUCCAUCCUUCCACGAAAGGAUGCAAUUCACACUUUCUAAAGGAGUCACGGUUUGAAAUUUGACUAAAGUUAUAUAUAAAAGAAAGUACUUGCAUAAGUUAUAUUUAUCAUAGAAGUACCAGCUUCAUUGUUAUUGGGCUGACCAGGUUUCACAACUUGAUUCCAAUUAGAUUAGUAAGUGAAGUACGUGAUGUAUUAGUAUACUUGCGUUACUUCUCUUAGUGAAUCUCUGUGAUUGCCAGCAGUUUAAGGCACCAGACACCAAACGAAUGUGCUUACAUAUAGUGGAAAACCUUUAGAAUGGCAGCUUCAUUGCUAUUUGGAGGGCAGGUGUGGCAACUUGUCUCUGUUGCUGCUGUGCAAGCCACUCUAUGGUUGAAUGCAUGCAUUUUCCUGCUUCUGUGGUAUAUAUAUGCUGCCAAAUGAACUUUCUGAUGUUGAUUAAAUGGUUAUGUUUGUGUGCUAAAUAAAAAUUAGACUCUUCAUCAAAUUUUUCUUAUUGAUAAGUCCAUUAAGCGCAGUUGCACGAUGCUCUACUUUUUGUAGGUGUCAUUCCUGUUGGUAGUGUUCAUUUCUGUAGUUGAAUACCCUAAAGAAAAAAGCAGGAUGAUGUGCUAUAUAUUAGCAGUAUCCCCGUAAACUUUAGGAACACGAUGAUCAUCGUUAUUGGGUGAACCUUUGGUCAUGUCCAUGUGUUGGACAACUCCAUGUCAAUUGGUUCAGUAAAUGAUGACACAUUUGUUUUCACAUAUUUUGUAGCUUGGGUGUGAUAAUUUUGGUGUGAUAAUGGUUGUGAUAAUUUCUCUGUCCAUUCAUAAGAUGGCACACAAUAUAUUUCAGUUGCUGACGCUAUUUAUUUUUUGAUAUGAUGUGGAUAUAUUUUUUGUGUAUGUUAACGCACCUAUCAUGCUUGCAGAACACACGUGAGACAGCUUUUGCCCUUAGGAAGUUGUCACUCACCAAGGCCAAAAGUUACCUUGAGGAUGUGAUCGCCCACAAGCAGGCCAUCCCUUUCCGUAGGUAUUGUGGUGGUGUUGGGCGUACUGCUCAGGCUAAGUCUCGCCACUCAAAUGGUCAGGGACGCUGGCCUGUCAAGUCUGCUAGAUUCAUUCUAGACCUUCUCAAGAAUGCAGAGAGCAAUGCUGAGGUCUGCAAUUCUUCUUUGCGCUGUCAGAGCUAUCUUUGCAUCUAUAAUGUAUGCUAAUUAUGUCAAUUUCUCUGCUGCAGGUGAAAGGACUUGAUGUGGAUACCAUCUAUGUGUCUCACAUUCAAGUUAAUCAGGCUUAGAAGCAGCGACGCAGGACAUACCAUGCUCAUGGACGCAUCAACCAUAAGUCUAUCUAACUAAAGUUGAAGUUUUGCUAUGCGAUGAACUGUUCUUCAUUUGGAGCUUAACAUUCUGUUUGCCUACCUGGUCCAGCUUACAUGUCCUCCCCAUGCCACAUCGAGCUCAUCUUGUCGGAGAAGGAAGAGCCAGUGAAGAAAGAGGUAUGUGGACAUGUGGUUGUGUACACUGUUGCACCUGAUUACCUGAUUUAGUGCAUGGGAUUAAUGUUGUGCUAUUGUGGUCAAUCGUUUCCUUUUCAGGCUGAGUCUCAGAUUGCAACCAGGAAGGCUUAGAGAAGGGGCUCUAUCUUCUGUGAUUGGCUUAGUACAAGUUUUGGCUGAUUAUUUGUUGUCUCAUACUGUUUACCUGAGUAUUGUUUGCAAGUGCUUUAUCACUGUCCGAACUGUGCAUGCAAUUCACUGGUCUAGAGAAUUGUCCGUGGAUUGUUUCAUAUUUGCGCGUAUGGCUCAUGUCUGUUGCUUUGCUUUAAUCUGUACCGAACAUUAAGUGUAGCAUUAACAAUCUGAAGCGAACAUUAAGAGUAGGGUUGUCCUGCUUCUGCAAUUUUAGUUGUCAGUAAAAUAUCUGUUUCUGAAAGCACUUGCCAUUCCUUUUUAAUAUCAGGUGAGCUGAAGUCAACUAAGGUGUAUGAGAAAUGGGCUAAAAAGAUCUCAGGGAUGGAGCCACCAACAAAUCCGCUAGAGAGGAGAGCGAAGUAAGUUUUCAUCCCCACAGAACACUUGAGGCUGCUAAAAUCCCUUACUAUUCAAUAGCUCCCUCAAUUCCCUUUCUUCCAAACAAGCCCUUAGGUGUCAGUGUUACAUUCCGCUACCAUUUGCUUGUUUCCAACUGAUCGUUGUCUUGAACUCCAUGGCACGAAGAGGAAGAACAGUGAGGAGAAUGAUCUGAUACUAGCUAUCUCACAGCGCAGGGUUGAGCGGAAAAAACAGUUCAACUCCAUCCUCUCGAACAUCAUGUCCAAGUGUGACUCCAAGGCGAGCAGCUCAGAGCCCACGAAAGAAGAGUUUGAGCAAGCGCAACAGAGGCUGGAGAGCAGAAGGGCCAAGAGGCGCAAGUGAUGCUGCUGCCAGCCUUCUUGCCCUAUGCUGAACAUUGUCUGAACCUUUUGGUGUGACCUGAAUUUACCAGCAUGCAAGUGAUGGUUCUAAGACCCAGUUUUAGCGUGUCAGAGUGUGUGUCAUAU